AAGGUUUUUGUACACAUCCAUCGCAAAGUCAACCAUGUUGGUAUCACUAAGAAGGUCCAACUUCCCUUGUAAUAAUUCUUUCUCAUUGUAUAUCUCCUUCACAGAGAGAAAUUCCAAGAGCGGGAAGACCAGGUGCCGGUCCAGAAAGUGAGCGAUGCGCGUGGUCAGGUCGUACUCCGCCAUCUUGCCGGAGAAGAGGGAGUCUGUGUUCUCGAAAACUUUAUUAGUAGCGAGACAGACACGCCGCGGAAGUACUGCGCAUGCGUACGACUCGCUGCGGUCCGACCGACGGCGCAUGUGCAGAGGCCUCUCUUUGCGUCUGCGCCGGAGGGUGAUUUCUGCGUCCCUGUCCUUCAAGGCUGUGGAACCGGCGGUGCGCUCGCAGGUCCCGGCCGCUUCUACGUUCUUAGCGCUACGGUCCAGAGAGGAGGCCGCUGCGCCCCGAGAGCCCGCAGAAGGGAAACGGGUUGUCCGACGCCCGUGGUUCCUGUGCAGAGCUGCGGCCCUGGAGCCGGCAUCUGCGGACUCUAGGCAGAGCCACCUCACGUGGAGCGGGUGACAGGCCACUUGGUUGAGCAGCUCAGAAGACUUACAGAAGAGGAGUGUAGCAAGAGGCGUCUCAUUG